rnacentral:lncRNA from 1 species
GUGGAAUUAGUUACAGUUCUUUGUAUCUCUAAAACUAUUUGGUCAUUGAUUCUAUUGCAGAAUACUGAGUUACUUAUGCAUCUCUAAAGCUAUUUGGUUAUCAUGCAAAAUACUAGAUUUGUUGGUUCUUCAUAGGUAUAUUUUAUUUUAUUUUAAUCAACAUAAUUUACUAUAUUAUGCAUGCCACUUAAAUUUGGUGACAACAAUUUGGUUAUAUUAUACUACUUAUAGUUAGCUAUGCCAUUGUUGAGGUCACAACUUUCUAUCUUGAAACUUUACUAUGGUAUUGCUCGAUUGAUAUGUCCUUUGAAUAAAUGUUGUUGAAUGUUUAUAGUUUACAUGGUGGCUUAUCAUAUUGUGCUUUCUUCAUUAAUUAAUCCAUCCAUUUUUCAUUAUCCCUGCAUAUUCCCUCUCAAAGAAAAGAAACCCUAACUCUGUCUCUUUGUGUGAAUCUUGUCUCUCUGAAUCCCAUUAUUGACGCAACCCGCCAACAAAGCUAACCAACAACUCCCAUUCGUUGAGGAAACAACCUUCAAGAAGAAACCUCUUCCGCAUGUUUCCUCAUUUCCAUUGAAUUGGAUACAUUUAUUCUGGUAUCAAAGAAGACCACUAAGAUAUGAGAGCAUAGUCACUCUUGCUGCCUAGAAUCGGCAAGUCUGUUGUGACAUUCAUAGGUAAGAACAAAUUUCAUGUCAAUGCCUUACAAAGUUCAAACAAUAGAGGACUUUGCAAAACAAGUAGAGGCAGAGAAUCUGAAACUCCGAGUUCGAGUACUAGAGGUAGGUAAAUUCUUUAAUCUUCACAUCAUAUGGUAUAUAAGUUGUAUAUCCAUACAUUGAAUAUAAUUUUAUACAUUGAACUCCACUCCUUGUUUUGGAUAAGUAGCUUAAGCAUUUAUCAUAUAAGUUCUUAUGUGAUUCUUCAACUUAUUUUUUCUUAUUGGAAAUGUGUUUCUUGAUUUCUCUAGUCUAAAAAGAGCUACUCGAAAAGUGACAGUGUUACAAAUGGCUACUAGAGCUGCUCGGAAAGGGACAGUUUAAAAUAGCAAGGAUGGUUCUUUGUUUUUUAUGAAGGGGUUAUCGGAAGGUUAGUUUAGUAAAUCUUCCCUCUUUUUCUAACUGUCUAUUAUCUAAGCUUAAUGUUAGAAGGUAAGAGUUCAAGGAACAUGGUUUUGCUUUUUUGGUAGACCCUGAUGUGCUUGAGGUUGAGGUAAUUNNNNNNNNNNNNNNNNNNNNNNNUUGUUUGUUUCAGGAUAAUUGGAUUUGUUUUUUAAUUAUUGCAGAGUAGAAAGGGUGGUUUGUCAGCAUGGGAGCAGGCAGGAGCUCAAGAGUGGUUAGAAGUAAGUGUUGUAUUAGUAUAUCCUCAUUCACUGAUGAUGGGGACAAAGGUUUUUUAGUUAUUGAUAUUGAUAUGCUUUCAUUUCAGUUUUAGUUUCUAUAUUGCUCUUUGGUUCCAUCAUAGUUGAAGCUUGAAUCUAAGAGAAUUUAUUGUUGUCAUUUCACCUAUGUUCAUUAUUGUGCCUCAAUGACUUGNNNNNNNNUAUUUCUGUUAGUCAUUCCAAGAGACUCAAGUAAUUUGUUUUGAAUUAUGAGUUGUGUAUGAUUUUGGAGUAUUUCUAAUGUUUGUAUAGCAGCAAAAAAAUGGUUUUUUAGAGCAGCAGAAAAAAAACAAUAUUUUUUUUAAAAAAGUAACAGUUCCACGUCAGUUGUUUAGGAUUAAUUUCCUUUGAGGAUUAAAUAGAUUUCUGCAUCAGUACUCUAUUCUAUUCAUUGCAACAAGUGUGAAAAUUAGGAUUAAAUUGUGUUGUGUGACUCUUUGGUUGAUUGUCUGAUAGUUGUGAUCUCUCGUGCUUUGUAUUUUAAAUCAUGUUUUACAUCUCUAUAUCAUGCUUGGAAUGAAAGUGUAUAAAAUAGCAUGCUUACGAUGUGGGUGAUCCAUAAAUAUAUGUACAUUGUGGCUGUUUCUUUUCAUCUCUAACAUGUUGGAUAAAGUACAUGCUUGUUGCUUAUAGAAAUUGCUAAAGUCUAUUAGUAUUUGUGACAUUUCUUGAAUCUACUAUGUUUUUAAUUGGUUCUUUCUUCCCUCACAUUGAGCAAAUAAAAUUCCUAAUUGCUUGAAUCUAAUUGGCAUUUUGUUAUAUACGCAUGAUUUUAACUUGUUCCAAAAUGCAUACUUGUUGUCGUUGUUUGCUUCUCCACUCUAAGUGAGCCUUUCUCUCAAAAAGUUUAUGACCUUAAGAUUUUGUGGGAUGUGUGCUAUUGGAUUUAAUGUCUUGUAUCAGUUAUUGGUAUAAAAUUUGCAAUUUUUUAUCCCACUCAGCUUGUGAGUGAUUAGUUCUUCUAUUUCUUCAUCUACAUAUUCACACAUUUAAUUUUCUUUGAAUUUGGACGACUUUUGAUGUGCUUAUCAGUUGCCUUAUCUUUAGCUAAUUACACAUAUAUGUAUGUNNNNNNNAUUUGUUUAGUUUUAUCCCUAAGCUUCUCAAUUGUAUCUAAUUGGUCCUUACUCUUUGAAUUGCCUCAUGAUUAAUUUAGCCACUAAUUUGGUGCAAUAUGAGCUAACGAUUUGAGUUAUUCAUUUAGCGUUUUAUAUCUUAUUGGGAUCUUCACCAAUCUUUCUUGUGUAUAAAUUUUCAGGUUGUCACCGAAGAUUUGGAAGGAUCUUCACCAAAUAGGUUUUUUUGGUGUAGACUUUACUUUCGAUUUGUUAGACAUAUAUUUGAUUUGUUUUUCUUAGUGUUAUUGUUGUAUAACAUAAUGGUUGCCAAUCUCUUGAGAUUCUAAAAAUUUACACCAAAUAAAUUUAGUUUGUUUGUUGGUUGAGAUAUUGUGUUUGUCACUUUGUAUGACUAUCGAUUUUAUGGAUUUGUAUGUGUGG